GGGCCGUAGCUCAGUUGGGAGAGCGCCUGCAUGGCAUGCAGGAGGUCGUCGGUUCAAUCCCGAUCGGGUCCACCA
rnacentral:tRNA from 1 species